ensembl:snoRNA SNORA73 Small nucleolar RNA SNORA73 family
CUGAUGUGGGUUCUCCUAGAAGGUCACUAUCCCUGUGCUGUCCAGGUGGCUUGGAGGAGCAUAGGGCUCUACCCCAUGAAGUACAGUUAUUUUUCACAACUUUGACAAUAAAGCUGGGCUUUGCAUUUAUAGCUGUGUAGCCCUACAGAUUCUCAGUCCUUUGCACAGUGACUGAGGAGACAAGCCAUGCAGGAAAUAGCC